rnacentral:rRNA from 1 species
UACCAGCUCUCCGAGUGGUGUGGAUGUUUAUUGGGCCUAAAGCAUCCGUAGCUGGCUGGGCAAGUCCCCUGUUAAAUCCACCGAUUUAAUCGUUGGAGUGCGGGGGAUACUGCUCGGCUAGGGGGCGGGAGAGGCAGACGGUAUUUUCGGGGUAGGGGUGAAAUCCUAUAAUCCCGAGAAGACCACCAGUGGCGAAGGCUGUCUGCUAGAACGUGCCCGACGGUGAGGGAUGAAAGCUGGGGGAGCGAACCGGAUUAGAUACCCGGGUAGUCCCAGCUGUAAACGAUGCAGGCUAGGUGUUUGGACGGCCACGUGCCGUUCUAGUGCCGCAGGGAAGCCGUUAAGCCUGCCGCCUGGGGAGUACGGCCGCAAGGCUGAAACUUAAGGAAUUGGCGGGGAGCACUACAAGGGGUGAAGCUUGCGGUUU